rnacentral:snRNA from 1 species
AAAAUUUUGCUAGCGUUGAUGAU